AGCGGCGUGGCUCAGUGGAAAGAGCCCGGGCUUGGGAGUCAGAGGUCAUGGGUUCGAAACCCGACUCCGCCA
rfam:Ornithorhynchus anatinus chromosome 1, whole genome shotgun sequence.